rnacentral:rRNA from 1 species
UACAGAGACUGCAAGCGUUAUUCGGAUUCACUGGGCGUAAAGCGCGCGUAGGCGGCUUUGUAAGUUAGAGGUGAAAGCCCGGGGCUCAACCCCGGAACUGCCUUUAAGACUGCAUCGCUUGAAUCCGGGAGAGGUGAGUGGAAUUCCGAGUGUAGAGGUGAAAUUCGUAGAUAUUCGGAAGAACACCAGUGGCGAAGGCGGCUCACUGGACCGGUAUUGACGCUGAUGUGCGAAAGCGUGGGGAGCAAACAGG